GGGCUCGUGGUCUAGCGGUUAUGACGCCGCCCUCACACGGCGGAGGUCGAGGGUUCGAAUCCCUCCGAGCCCA
rnacentral:tRNA from 1 species